AUUGAACGUUGGCGGCAUGCCUUACACAUGCAAGUCGAACGGCAGCGCGGACUUCGGUCUGGCGGCGAGUGGCGAACGGGUGAGUAAUGUAUCGGAACGUACCAUUCAGUGGGGGAUAACGCAGCGAAAGUUGCGCUAAUACCGCAUAUUCUGUGCGCAGGAAAGCAGGGGAUCGCAAGACCUUGCGCUGAUUGAGCGGCCGAUAUCAGAUUAGCUAGUUGGUGAGGUAAAGGCUCACCAAGGCGACGAUCUGUAGCGGGUCUGAGAGGAUGAUCCGCCUCACUGGAACUGAGACACGGUCCAGACUCCUACGGGAGGCAGCAGUGGGGAAUUUUGGACAAUGGGCGCAAGCCUGAUCCAGCCAUGCCGCGUGAGUGAAGAAGGCCUCGGUUGUAAGCUCUUUCGGUCCGGGAACGGAAAGUACGUA
rnacentral:rRNA from 1 species